CUGGCUGCCCGCUGGGGUGGAAGGAGU
rnacentral:piRNA from 1 species